CUAAAAUUGACCAACCUCUACAAACGAAACGUUCCAAAACGUACUAGGAGUAUACCCCGCUACCGCCUGCAAACAAUUGGGGACAAAGUGUGCUUGCGCUUGCGCUUGCGCUUGCGCUUGCACUGAUGUUUGGACUGGGUAACAAUGGCGCAACAAAACAUCUCUUUUCCAUCAGAUUUCAGCUCUUUUACUCCACAGCUGCAGCGACUUCUCCUGCCUAUGUAUUGGUGGACUUUCUGGUAAAUUCACUUGGCUUCUCCAACAAAGAAGCCAUUUCUACAAGCUCCAAGGUAACUCGUUCGAGACUCCGAAAUUAUGAGCCACAUUUGUUACUUGAUUUCUUUCACAAAGUAGGUAUGAACAAAAGCCAUAUCAAAACCCUUGUUUCUUCUUCCCCUGAAGUGGUUACUUGAUCUCUUUCACAAAGUGGGUAUGAACAAAACCCAGAUCAAAACCCUUGUUUCUUCUUCCCCUGAAGUGUUGUUUUCUCAUAUUGAUAAAAACCUUAAACCCAAAAUUAAGGUUUUACAAGAAGUUGGCUUAUCUGGGUCUGACCUUGUUACUUUUAUCAAUUAAAGCGAUUUCUUGACUAGAGGUUUACAUACUACUAUUAAACCUAGUCUUGAUUAUCUUCGGGAGUAUUUGGGCAGUUAUGAUGCUGUAGCUAGGGUUGUUAAGAAAGAGCCUAGGCUGCUUUCUAAUAAUCUCCCUAAAGUAAUACCACCCAAUAUACUAUUGUUGCAAAAUCUUGGGUUUUCGCUAGGGGAUAUUGAGACGGUUUUUCAUCGGCGUCCUAGGUAUCUGCUUAAUAACCCUGAGUGGCUUGAGAGAGUAGUAAAUCAAGCAGAAAAGAAUUUUAACGUACCUCGGGAGUCACGGAUGU
rnacentral:lncRNA from 1 species